rnacentral:rRNA from 1 species
GGUAACAUGACGCUUCGGUGUUGAUGACGACCGGCGCACGGGUGCGUAACGCGUAUGCAAUCUACCUACAGCAGAGGGAUAGCCCGUGGAAACAUGGAUUAAUACCUCAUAAUACAGGGGGCCCACCUGGGCAUAUUGUUAAAGAUUUAUCGGCUGUAGAUGAGCAUGCGUCCCAUUAGCUAGUUGGUACGGUAACGGCGUACCAAGGCGAUGAUGGGUAGGGGUUCUGAGAGGAUGAUCCCCCACACUGGUACUGAGAUACGGACCAGACUCCUACGGGAGGCAGCAGUAGGGAAUAUUGGUCAAUGGACGAAAGUCUGAACCAGCCAUGCCGCGUGCAGGAAGACGGCCUUCUGGGUUGUAAACUGCUUUUCUCAGGGAAGAAAAAGGUCUUGCGAGACAAAUUGCCGGUACCUGAGGAAUAAGCACCGGCUAACUCCGUGCCAGCAGCCGCGGUAAUACGGAGGGUGCGAGCGUUGUCCGGAUUUAUUGGGUUUAAAGGGUGCGUAGGCGGCCUAUUAAGUCAGUGGUGAAAGGUAUCAGCUUAACUGAUGACGUGCCAUUGAAACUGAUAGGCUUGAGUACAGACGAGGUAGGCGGAAUUUAUGGUGUAGCGGUGAAAUGCAUAGAUACCAUAAAGAACACCGAUAGCGAAGGCAGCUUACUAGGCUGAGACUGACGCUGAGGCACGAAAGCGUGGGGAGCGAACGGGAUUAGAUACCCUGGUAGUCCACGCUGUAAACGAUGAUUACUGGAUGUGUGCGAUAGACAGUACGCGUCUGAGCGAAAGCGUUAAGUAAU